rnacentral:tRNA from 5 species
GCGCGAGUGGCGGAACUGGUAGACGCCCCAGAUUUAGGUUCUGGUGCCUUCGGGCGUGAGGGUUCGAGUCCCUUCUCGCGCACCA